CUCUGUCUCCAAACAGAAAUCAGUGGGUGUGCUCAGGGGCAGAAACCACCUCCCGGAGGGAAGGAAAAUCAAAGUCGAGGAAGGGCAAACUCAGGUGCUUCUGGCACUGACUGCGAACUCAAAGUCCACGCAAGAAGCAGACUCCUGGACUCACUCUGGUUCCCGGCCCUGCCAGAGGGGCCAGAUGAGCUCAAGGAGGCUGCAGUGCAGAAUUCAGAUUCCAAACGAUUCUCCAACCACCACCUCUUACUUUGAGGUCCUGAUUUCCUAACUCUUUCUUUACUCUACUCCUCUUCGGGGAUUUCCUGAGUGCUGAGAGAUGGAAUUUGUUGGAGGCCUCCAAUUUAGACAGUCUGUCUGCAUAUUGUAUGGCUGUGGGUCUCUGCCUCUGUUCCCAUAUCCUGUUGGAGGAAGCUUCUCUGAUGAUGACUGGAGAAAGAAACAAAGACUCCUUGAAAAAGCAUUCAACAUGCCAACAAGUAUAUGUGUAACUAUGUGAGAACCAGUACCUGCCUAAUCCAUUCCAGCAUAACCAUGUGAGAAACAGUUUCUUCCCACUCCACCCUGAGUAGAAAAAGAAAUUCUGAGCUCUCAGGAAGAUGAAGGCUGUGUGUAAGGUGGCCAUCUUCAUUUUCUAGGGCUGCUGCAAGACAAUACAGAGACUGGGCUGGAUGUAUUGAACAAAGGAAUGUGUUUUUUCGAAGUUCUAAAUGCUGAAAUGCCAAGAUCAAGGAAUCUCAAGCCUUAAUUUCUUUGGCACCUCUCCUUGGCCAUGAAAGGUGCCCAUUUCUCUGGGACCUCUGUGCCUUAAUUUCCACUUCUUAAAAGACACAAAUUACAUUAAGGCCCUCCUGAAUGGUCUCCUUUUAACCCAGUAACCUCAAUAAGGGCCCCAUUUUCAAAUAGCCUUAGCUUCUGGGAAUCAGGGGAAGGAGCACAAUUUUUCUGUAAUCUCUGUACAAAGCAUCAAACUUGAGAGUCAAAGGAAUAUAACCUCAAUCCUGCUUUGUGUAAUGAAAACCAGGGGAUAAAAGCCCAGCAUUCUCGUUUUUUGAAAAUUUUAAUCUUCAAUAUGAUCCUGGACCAUGGAACUGUGUGCAAAGUGAAAACAUGCAUGCUGGUUUACUUACCUAAAUCCUCCAGAUCCCUCGACAUCUGCAUGUUGCCUAAGUUAUGAGGAGAGCUUGUGACUAAAGGACCCUAGGAGGCUUGAGCAUCAGUUAGAAGAGAAAGCCAGUGUGGUAGGAGAGCCCCAAUAGGACACUUAAGGGGAACCAUUAUGUUACAUAUCAAUAAAAAGUGUGGAUUAACCAGGCAUGGUGGCAGACACCUUUAAUGCCAGGACUCGGGAGGCAGAGGCAGAUGGAUCUCUGAGUUUGAGGGCAGCCUGGCCUACAGAGAGUUUCAGAACAACCAGGACUACACAAGAGAAACCUUGUCACAAAAACUCAUUAAAAAAAAAAGUGGCUGCCUUGUCUUCUGUGGCCUGGUAAUGCUGCUUCCCCCUCAGGGGGAGGUAAUUAAAGAGCAGGCCAAUCAGUUCAUGUCAGAGACAGUCCAUGUUCCUAUUACAAUGGAACCCACUUGGAUACUACCAUGGGCUACAUCUGUGCAGGGGUCUUAGGUUAUCUCCAUGCAUAGUCCUUGAUCAGAAGGAAGGAAAAGAAGACCUCCCCUAUCAGUGGACUUGGGGAGGGGCAUGCAUGCAGAGGGUGGAGGAAGGGAGGAUUGGUAUGGGGGGAGGGAACCACAGGGGGGAUACAAAGUGAAUAAAGUGUGAUUAAUAAAGAAUUAAAAAAAAAGUAUGGCUCAUCUGCUGCUAUAGUGACCUCAGAAUGCCCAUGGGUACACCAGAGCCAUGCUGUAUUAAAAAAAAAAAAAAAAAAAAAAAAAAAAAAAAAAAGUAUGUCAAGUCAGCUCUUCAGAAAACCGCAGGGGACACCAGCAGCAGCCAGGGGUGUCCCCAGUGUUGCAGGGCUUCAGAAGUCUUCCCUGGAACAUGCCUCAUGCUACCCCUAAGCUGAGGGAGCAGAAGCAACUUAACAAAGUGGGUAAAUUGUGAACAAAUAUGGACUUGAUUUGUAUUCUUAAGUAGGACAAGGAAAAUCAAAUUAAGUUUCCUGAGUACCAAUAGGGUCUUCUGAGAAGUUAAUGUUAUGGAAGAAAGAGGGUCUUCUGCACUUUCAACCAAUAAUCUAAAGACUCUGCCAAUACACUCCUCUACACACCAGACACUGGAUCCAUGUGUCCAGAUUAAGAACAUUUGCCCAAGGGGAUCUGUUUUUGUAAUCCAGUUAUAUGAAGAAAUUUUAUCUGAAUUAACACAAACAUAUGUAUAUACAAAAACUUCCAUUGAUAAAUUAUUUGGGAGUAUGUAUUUAACUUUUUUUUUUUGAAACUUCAUGUCUUUAUACAAUGUAUUUUGAUCACAUCCUCUUGCCACCCCAGAUCCUCUCAAUCCAUCUCCUUCCCAAUUUCCUGUCUUCUUUGUUGUUAUAACUGACUGGGUUCAAUUCAUGCUGCCACCUACGCCUGGGGUCAGCUGCAGGAGCAUGGAUAAGUCACUAACAGCCAUCCCUCAAAGAAAAGUGACUUUCCCUCCCUUAGUAGCCAUCACCUCCAGUGGUCUCUCCUCCAUCCCUGCUGAAAACUUUAACUUGCUUAGUCUAGUGCAGAUAUCACAGUUGCUGUGCGUUCGUGUGUGUAACAGAGAUGUCGUAUCUAACAGACAGGGUAAAAAUGUAUUUUCUUAAAGAAAAUAAAAGGCCUAAAAUUACAACACAAUAACGUAUAUGAUGAGAUUUAGUGAAUAUAUUGCAGAAUAGUUUUGAAGGAUUCCGGAAAAAUACUCACAAAUGAGAAAAUUGUAGACAGUCACUGGGCAGAGAUAAUUCCACUCAAAGACUGAGGUCUUCAGAAGGAACAAUUUCAUUUCUUUGCCUCAACAAGUGUGGAGCUAUUAUUUUCUCACAAAAGUCAUAAAAUGGGAAAACAUCUAAAUUAAAAUGUUACUCUUCGUGUUUCCAUCUCAACUGCUUUUUAUUACAUAAUUUUGUCACUGGUGGCAUAAAAUUGAGGAGAAACUUAUAUUUCAGACACAUUUCAAGAAAUGUUUAUAGCAAUCAGGGAGACUGAUGGGGGCAGUGAGUUCUCUGCAGAAAGUACUACCUUUGAAUGCUUUAUUGCAUUUCAUAUGUAAAUAUAUCCUUUUCCAGAGUAUUCUUAUUUUCAGAAAUUUCUAUGUAUGCAAUAAUCUUGUCAAAUUGCCAUCCCGGGUCUCUUUUUCUGGAUUCAUACAGCUUUCCCUGGAGGAUCCUAGUUACCUCCUUCUGGCCUGGCUUGUGGCCUAGACAAGACUGGAAUACAAGAGUAAGUCAGAGCAACCAAGGCUACCACCACGCUCCAGUUAAACUCCUGACUCCUCCCCAGCAGAGCUUUGUUAGUUCAUCAAAACAAAAACUGUACUCCGGCAUCAGACAAGUUAGAGCCCCACUCGUGGUGCUCUCACCCACAGCCUGCCUGACCUUUGACAAAUGCCUUCCAGGGGUGGGGUGUCUGACGGCUUUGUAAAAUGGGGCUUGGUGGAUCCUGUCUCAGAGACUGGCUGUGAAAGUCCCAAGACUAUAAGGCAGUGCAUGCUUUUCUGCUCAGUAAUGCCUUCGCUGAGACAAAUGAUGGGCAUGUGAGGAACAAGAUCAUUUCCUCAUGAAACCUUCUCAUUUGUUUGUUCUAGGUUAGCUAUUUCUCCAUUUCCUAAAGCCUCGUGUUUGUUGUGGAAGCAUUAGCUAACACCUGUACAAGGCGACACAGUUUCAAAGACACCAACUGAAGUUAGUACCAUAAGGAAGGAGGCAUUUCUGGAGCCAUGUUGUAAAAAUUCUGUGCAAAAUCUCUUCUAGUCACUACUUUCUGUUUCCAGCUCUCUUUCCAGUGUCUUUCCAUCACUCUUUUUUUUUUUGUUUGUUUGUAGCAGCUUUAUUUGGUUUUUUUUUGAUACUUAUUUUUUUUAAUA